rnacentral:rRNA from 1 species
AUGUGAAGUCGGACCUGCCCAGUGAAUUUUUUUAACGGCCGCGGUACUCUGACCGUGCAAAGGUAGCAUAAUCAUUUGCCUUAUAAUUGAAGGCUGGAAUGAAUGGUUUGACAAGAGUGCAACUGUCUCUUUACGACUAAAUAGAAUUUUAUUUUUGGAUGAAAAAGUCCUAAUAAAAUUAAAAGACAAGAAGACCCUAUCGAGCUUGAAAGAAAUUAACAAAUAUAUAUGUACUAAUCUGAAAAUCAAAUUGUUAAAAAUUUUGGUUGGGGCAACCAAGGAGCAAAUAAAGCCUCCUUUAUUAAAUAAAGACAUUACUAGUCUUGAUCCAAAAAUUUUGAUUAAAGGAAAUAGUUACCGUAGGGAUAACAGCAUUAUCUUUUUUGAGAGCUCUUAUCGAAAAAAAGGUUUGUGACCUCGAUGUUGGACCAGAAUAUCCUAAAGAUGCAGAAGUCUUUAAGGGUUGGUCUAUUCGACCAUUAAAAUUCUA